CCUACGGGUGGCAGCAGUGAGGAAUAUUGGUCAAUGGACGAGAGUCUGAACCAGCCAAGUAGCGUGAAGGAUGACUGCCCUAUGGGUUGUAAACUUCUUUUAUAAAGGAAUAAAACGAGGCACGUGUGCCUUUUUGCAUGUACUUUAUGAAUAAGGAUCGGCUAACUCCGUGCCAGCAGCCGCGGUAAUACGGAGGAUCCGAGCGUUAUCCGGAUUUAUUGGGUUUAAAGGGAGCGUAGAUGGGUUGUUAAGUCAGUUGUGAAAGUUUGCGGCGCAACCGUAAAAUUGCAAUUGAUACUGGCAGUCGUGAGUACAGUUGAGGCAGGCGGAAUUCGUGGUGUAGCGGUGAAAUGCUUAGAUCUCACGAAGAACCCCGAUUGCGAAGGCAGCUUACUAAACUGUGACUGACAUUGAUGCUCGAAAGUGUGGGUAUCAAACAGGAUUAGAUACCCCAGUAGUC
rnacentral:rRNA from 1 species